ACUCCUACGGGAGGCAGCAGUGGGGAAUAUUGCACAAUGGGCGCAAGCCUGAUGCAGCCAUGCCGCGUGUAUGAAGAAGGCCUUCGGGUUGUAAAGUACUUUCAGCAGUGAGGAAGGUGGAGUCGUUAAUAGCGGCCUCAUUUGACGUUAGCUGCAGAAGAAGCACCGGCUAACUCCGUGCCAGCAGCCGCGGUAAUACGGAGGGUGCGAGCGUUAUCCGGAAUCAUUGGGUUUAAAGGGUCCGCAGGCGGUCAAUUAAGUCAGAGGUGAAAUCCUAUAGCUUAACUAUAGAACUGCCUUUGAUACUGGUUGACUUGAGUUAUACGGAAGUAGGUAGAAUGUGUAGUGUAGCGGUGAAAUGCAUAGAUAUUACACAGAAUACCGAUUGCGAAGGCAGCCUACUACGUAUAUACUGACGCUCAUGGACGAAAGCGUGGGGAGCGAACAGGAUUAGAUACCCUGGUAGGAUAGCGU
rnacentral:rRNA from 1 species